ACCGGCGCACGGGUGAGUAACACGUAUGCAACCUACCUACAUCAGGGGAAUAACCCGGAGAAAUUCGGACUAAUACCGCAUAAUACAGGGAUGCCGCAUGGCAAUAUUUGUUAAAGAUUUAUCGGAUGUAGAUGGGCAUGCGUUCCAUUAGCUUGUUGGUGAGGUAACGGCUCACCAAGGCAACGAUGGAUAGGGGAACUGAGAGGUUUGUCCCCCACACUGGAACUGAGACACGGACCAGACUCCUACGGGAGGCAGCAGUGAGGAAUAUUGGUCAAUGGACGAGAGUCUGAACCAGCCAAAUCGCGUGAAGGAAGACUGCCCUACGGGUUGUAAACUUCUUUUGUACAGGAAUAAAAGACAUUACGUGUAAUGUAUUGCAUGUACUGUACGAAUAAGCAUCGGCUAACUCCGUGCCAGCAGCCGCGGUAAUACGGAGGAUGCGAGCGUUAUCCGGAUUUAUUGGGUUUAAAGGGUGCGCAGGCGGGAUUUUAAGUCAGCGGUGAAAUUUUCAGGCUCAACCUGAACACUGCCGUUGAAACUGGGAUUCUUGAGUAUGGAUGAAGUAGGCGGAAUUCGUUGUGUAGCGGUGACAUGCUU
rnacentral:rRNA from 1 species